rnacentral:lncRNA from 1 species
UGCUGCUGUGUGAUUGUUGAGACUGAAGUUCUGAAAGCACCAGUGUUUGCCGGAUCUGUCUCCAGCUUGUCUCUACAAGGUCAUUUCCAAAAGACUGUCAAAAGAAUGGCAUGUCCCGCCUUUUCCACCACCGACACACCCUGCAUGAAAACCCCAGGAGCACAGAAGUCCUGCUUGGGUCCCAGGAACAGCAUGGCUCCAGCAAAGGAUGACUCUUCUCUUCCAGAAUAUUCAGCCUUUAACACAUCUGUCCAUGCUGCAAUUAGACAUGGAAAUUGGAAACUCCUCACGGGCUACCCAGGCUGUGGUUACUGGUUCCCUCCACCGUCUCAAUACAAUGUUUCUGAGAUACCCUCAUCAGACCCACCAACCAAGACCCUCUGGCUCUUUGAUAUUGAUCGGGACCCUGAAGAAAGACAUGACCUGUCCAGAGAAUAUCCUCACAUCGUCACAAAGCUCCUGUCCCGCCUACAGUUCUACCAUAAACACUCAGUCCCCGUGUACUUCCCUGCACAGGACCCCCGCUGUGAUCCCAAGGCCACUGGGGUGUGGGGCCCUUGGAUGUAGGAUUUCAGGGAGGCUAGAAAACCUUUCAAUUGGAAGUUGGACCUC